AAGUCGUAACAAGGUUUCCGUAGGUGAACCUGCGGAAGGAUCAUUACCUAGAGUUUGUGGGCUUCGGUCUGCUACCUCUUACCCAUGUCUUUUGAGUACCUUCGUUUCCUCGGCGGGUCCGCCCGCCGGUUGGACAACAUUCAAACCCUUUGCAGUUGCAAUCAGCGUCUGAAAAAACUUAAUAGUUACAACUUUCAACAACGGAUCUCUUGGUUCUGGCAUCGAUGAAGAACGCAGCGAAAUGCGAUAAGUAGUGUGAAUUGCAGAAUUCAGUGAAUCAUCGAAUCUUUGAACGCACAUUGCGCCCCUUGGUAUUCCAUGGGGCAUGCCUGUUCGAGCGUCAUUUGUACCUUCAAGCUCUGCUUGGUGUUGGGUGUUUUGUCUCGCCUCCGCGCGCAGACUCGCCUUAAAACAAUUGGCAGCCGGCGUAUUGAUUUCGGAGCGCAGUACAUCUCGCGCUUUGCACUCAUAACGACGACGUCCAAAAGUACAUUUUUACACUCUUGACCUCGGAUCAGGUAGGGAUACCCGCUGAACUUAAGCA
rnacentral:rRNA from 1 species